AGAGAUUCCCGAAUCAGACAAUGCUUUAGGGACUUUGCAACUUCAGAUUAGAGGCCUUGACUACUUUUUCUCCAUUGUCCUUCAUCUCAGAAACAUCAAUUCUCUCCCCAACAGUGGCUUUUCCCUUAAAAUAGGUAAGAGGACAUAGAGGAUUCCUUACUCACAUUAGAGGGAGAUGUCAACACAGGUUUAAGUGACAUCUUUGGACAUUUCAUAAGAGUUGGAAGGUUAUUGUUUUCAUAAGAAGAUUGCAGAAGCCAGGCACAGUGGCUCAUGCCUGUAAUCCAAACCCUUUUGGAGGCUGAGGCAGGAGGAUACCUCUAGUCCAGGAGUUUGAGACCAGCCUGGGCAAGAUGGUCUGUCUUUCUCACCUAAUUCUGAGUGCCACAAAAGCAGAAACUAUGAUUCACUUAGUCCUGGCAAUGUGAGCCUGGAAGCUGGAACACCUUAAAAA
rnacentral:lncRNA from 13 species